CAUUUGGUGUAUGUGCUUGGCUGA
rnacentral:piRNA from 4 species